AACGAACGCUGGCGGCAUGCCUAACACAUGCAAGUCGAACGAGACCUUCGGGUCUAGUGGCGCACGGGUGCGUAACGCGUGGGAACCUGCCCUUAGGUUGGGAAUAACUCCCCGAAAGGGGUGCUAAUACCGGUUAAUGUCUUCGGACCAAAGAUUUAUCGCCUUUGGAUGGGCCCGCGUUGGAUUAGCUAGUUGGUAGGGUAAAAGCCUACCAAGGCGACGAUCCAUAGCUGGUCUGAGAGGAUGAUCAGCCACACUGGGACUGAGACACGGCCCAGACUCCUACGGGAGGCAGCAGUGGGGAAUAUUGGACAAUGGGCGAAAGCCUGAUCCAGCAAUGCCGCGUGAGUGAUGAAGGCCUUAGGGUUGUAAAGCUCUUUUACCCGGGAUGAUAAUGACAGUACCGGGAGAAUAAGCUCCGGCUAACUCCGUG
rnacentral:rRNA from 1 species